rnacentral:rRNA from 1 species
CCUACGGGAGGCAGCAGUGGGGAAUAUUGCACAAUGGGCGCAAGCCUGAUGCAGCCAUGCCGCGUGUGUGAAGAAGGCCUUCGGGUUGUAAAGCACUUUCAGCGGGGAGGAAGGCGGUGAGGUUAAUAACCUCAUCGAUUGACGUUACCCGCAGAAGAAGCACCGGCUAACUCCGUGCCAGCAGCCGCGGUAAUACGGAGGGUGCAAGCGUUAAUCGGAAUUACUGGGCGUAAAGCGCACGCAGGCGGUCUGUCAAGUCGGAUGUGAAAUCCCCGGGCUCAACCUGGGAACUGCAUUCGAAACUGGCAGGCUAGAGUCUUGUAGAGGGGGGUAGAAUUCCAGGUGUAGCGGUGAAAUGCGUAGAGAUCUGGAGGAAUACCGGUGGCGAAGGCGGGCCCCUGGACAAAGACUGACGCGCAGGUGCGAGAGAGUGGGGAGCAAACAGGAUUAGAUACCCUUGUAGUC